rnacentral:misc_RNA from 1 species
UCGUCAUCGUCAUCGUCAUCGUCAUCGUCUUGGUUAUCAUUGGUGGGAGGAUCUGUGGCACCAUAUAUGGAGGGUAUGGGAGACUGGAAGUGGGGACGUUGGUCUGAAGAUGUGUCGGUGUUGGAAGUUGAGUGUUCGGAGAGAGCUGGUUUUGGUGGUAGGGAAAUAGGGUGGUGGUGGUCAGUGAAGAUGCUCUUCACUCGUUGGACAAAUCCAAGGUCCUCUUGAACC